rnacentral:lncRNA from 1 species
CAGCCCAUCAAAGCCUGGAGGUCAUUCAUCCUCAUUCUCUGGCACUUAUCAACAAACCCAGUGAACUUUUCUUUAAUGCAGACAUGCUAAACAGCAUCGAAGACAACGGAGAUGUACAUCCAUUAACAACAGCACAGCUGUCAUUUUAGACAUUAGCAUAAAAUGUUUGGUCAGAGAGAUUUCAUGCGCUAAAUAAAAGAUUUGCAAAGAGCCUGCCUGGUGAUGAACAGCCAGGGUGGAAAAGUCAUCCCAUAGUCCUGUUUUCCAACAACCUCUUUCAUGUAGGAGGCCCCGUGAGAUCCUUCACCAGCUAUUCAUCAAGUGCCACUGAAAUGUCCACUGGAGCUCUCUGGAGAAGAGUUUGAUACCAGAUAGUUAAAUGUUUUCUGUGCAGCGACAGUUCUCAGAAACCUUUUGAGAAUACCCUCCAGCAUUUUCUGGGAUGAUUAAAUACGACUUGGAAACCACGUUUCUCCAAUGAGAUCACGAGGAAAGGAAUUUCCUUGGUACAAAAUCCCCCUCUUGUUCCCUGGAUGAUGUCAGGUGGAGAAUCAAGACACUGGAUCUAAAGGUGGCACUGGCUGAAACCUUUGCCGGCUCCCUCCCCUGCCUGGCUGCAACCACAAGUUUCUCCGGGAGAGGAGUCCAGCAGCACAGCCAGGAGGCAUCGAUUCAAACGGCAUGCGAGGAGCUCACUGAACCACCAGUGCCUCCAUUUACCAAGGAGGUGGAGUAGAGACAACACCAGCUGUCCGCCUGUCUCAAGCUGGAUUCAGGCAGCACUUCAAAAAUAGCAAGAGUUGGUUUGGUAUCAGUUGUGAACCUGAUGGGGCUGGUCAGAACCACACGGGUUUCCUGGGCCGAGACCGCAGCAAGAAAUGAGCUUCGCAGUGUAACUGAGUGACGGUGUAUAGGAAGAACCCAUCCCCUAAAAAAAUGCUCACGGAGAGAAGAGCUUAAGGGAUGAUAUUAAGUUGGACAACCACGUUAAACUGCAUCUGAAAAGGAAAUUGGUAAUUCCUCAUCUAUUUUUUGAUGAAAAAUGGGGCUUUUUUUUUAUAAUGAAAAGCAUUUUUAUGGAGCAAUCCUGUGAGAUGCCAAAUGUUUUGGCCCUGAUCUAGCUAGAUAUUUAACCAUGCACUUCAUUUCUUAAGCUGCUCAUGUGCCUAACCAUUUUGCUGGAUCAAGCCCAGAGCUCUCAGCAUUUGGUGAGGUGUCAAAGGACCAGGGCUGUGUUUGCAGUAGCAUUACUGAACUCAGCAUAUAAUGAUUUUAAUCAUCAUACAGAAAACAUUUCCCGCAAAUGUACUA